UAUUAAUGACGUUGCAGAUAAAUGAUACACUGCUUUGUUAUUCCUUUUUUAUUCCUACAUUCCAUUUACACAGUGAAAGGUGUAUAUCCUGUGAUACACGCCUUUCUAUGGGCAACACCCAAACCUGACGAUUCUGUUGGCCAGCAGCCUCAGAAGCAUACACACAACAGGGGAAUACUGACCAAGAGGCUACCAAUCGCUUCUUUCUUGGUUAAUUCUAAUUAACAAACUCAAAAUACACCUUUUCCUCCUCAAACUGCAAGCAGUUCACCCCGACCCACCCAGCUACACCUGCGGGGCCGCCGUGGCUCACCGAACCCCCUCGCACACCUGCACUGCGACCGCCUACCCACGGUACCGACCAGCCGCCGAGGGGUCGUUACCCGGCCGAGCCCCCAACGAGACGGGCCCAAACGAGGCCCGAGACCGCCACCACCACCGCACCAUGGCGAUGUUUACGGCUCGGGGCCCUGCCCGGGGAAGCACGGAACGAGCCCAGCCGAGGCCCUGCCCGGCUCCGCACUGCUCCCUUCCGAGCACCGCUCACCUCCCCGAGCCACCGCCGCCGUCUGCAGCCGAUCGCUCCACAACCAGCCGCCCUUACCUCUGCCCCACUUCCAAGCGGGCCCGGAAAGCAGGCGGGGCGGGGCGGGGCGGGAUGGCCGUGCGCAGGCGGCCCGGGCUGGGGGCCCUGCGGGGCUGCAGAGGCAGCGGCCUGUCGGAGCCUAUGGGGCAGGAGGAUGGUGAAAUCAUAUGGGAUCUGCUGAAUGAUUUAUUUGAAAACUAACCUACAAAGUAAGUAUUAGUUUUCAGCUUGAUAAACUGCUCUUACUACUUUGCUGCAUAUUUGUUAAUGUUGACAAAAAGACUGGGAUAGAAAACUGUGCUUUGGAAAGCUGGGCAGGGCAGGAUUUCUUCUGCCAUCAUUGAGAUCAAGUGAAAUCUGAGGAGAAAACAUUUGUGAAUUCAUGCCUACAGCAUUCAUUACUUUAUGUAAAUAUUUUUUACCCAAUUCUUUUGACCCAUAUGGCUGGUUUACAUAUAGCAGAGCUGGAAGGUAAGUGGUUUAUCAGGGCUUUUUGUGAUACUAGGAAAGCUGUAGGUGGUGCCAUGGAGCAGUAAUCCUAACAGCAACUGUAAUGAAGGUAACACCUGGAUAAACAACCCUUUUUCAAAGAAAAAGGCAUCAGAUAUCAAAGAAAAAGUAAAUGAAGUUCUUAGUACAAGCCCCUCAGUGCAUAUGUUCCCAUUCUUUCUGGUUGUGGGUGAUGUGUGCAACAACACUGCCUAAAGGAAGGUGGAGACAAUUGUAAGCUAUCACUGUCUAACCUGAGCAGAGCCCAGUAAAGGGGCUGUGCUCAGUUAACUCUAGUGGCAACCCACUGCGGAUGGUCAUUGUGCUGCUCAGUCAGUAGAAUCAUAGAAUCAUAGAAUUACCCAGGCUGGAAAAGACCUCAGAGAACAUCAAGUCCAACCACAGCCUAACCAUAGUACCCUAACUCUAACAACCCUCUGCUAAAUCAUAUCUCUGAGCACCGCAUCCAAACGGCUCUUAAACACAUCCAGGGACAGUGACUCAACCACCUCCCUGGGGAGCCUACUCCAGUGCUUAACUACCCUUUCUGUAAAGAAGUGUUUCCUAACAUCCAACCUAAACUUACCUUGGUGCAACUUGAGGCCAUUUCCCCUCGUCCUGUCACCUGUCACCAGUGAGAAGAGACUUGCCCCGCUCUCACCGUAAGCACCUUACAGAUACUGGAAGAGAGCGAUAAGGUCUCCCCUCAGCCUCCUCAGCCCCAGACUACACAGCUCCAGCUCCCUCAGCCUCUCCCCAUAGGGCUGAUUUUCCAAGCCCUUCACAUGCCUUGUUGCCUUUCUCUGGACCUACUCCAGUACCUCCAUGUCCAUUUUGUAUUUCUUUUUUAUUUGUUGUGAGAUUGCUCAUGCACUGUAUGCUAACUGACAUUAGGAGAAAAUUAAUUUUCUUAUGUAAGUGGGUACAGCUGGUACACAUACAUACUUUUUUGUUGUUUUGCUGAGGUUUUUUUUAUACACUUCCUUCAAAUUUGUAUUUCUUCUUUCAAUUUCCAAUGAAGUGGCUGUAUUUCUCCCUUAUCUGUAAUGCAAGAGUUUGCUGAACUACUGGACCAAAAGGCUGGGAAUGAACCAAGGCUUUACUGGUGCUUUGGCUCUUACCACCAUUCCAUUUCAUUUUGAAUUUAGUUUCUUUUACUGCUCUCUAUGCAAGGUCUUGUUUCCACCCUGGUCUUGCAUUCACUAUGUAGUUGAUAUCCAGUCUGGGCAUUAUGCUUUCCUUGCCAAAUGCAUACUUGUCUUAAUUAUAUAUGAUGAUAAUUAUGUGUCUUUUCUCCUCUAUCAACAAAUUAUCAAGGGAUAUCAAUUUGUCAUCUAUGAUUUUUUCCUUGAUAAACCUUAUGUAGAGUAUAUAUCCUUAGGCUAUAGUAAAAACAGUCUGUUAUGACUUAUUUUAAACUUUUUCAAUUCUGUUGGCCAACGGUGAAUAGUUUAAGUUAGUUGAUGUACUGCAGUUUGAUGCACUGAAGAAUUUUUUGUUUGUUGUGCCUAUGCACAAGUGUCUAUGGUUUCUGCCUCUACUCUGUGCUUUGAGACCUCAGCUGGGGUUCUGCAUCUAGAUGUGGAGAGGUGUGGGCCUGUUGGAGUGCGUCCAGAGGAGGGCCACAAAAAUGAUCCUAGGGAUGGAAUACCUCCCCUGCAAGGACAGGCUGAGGGAGCUGGGGCUGUGCAGCCUGGAGAACAGAAGGCUCUGGGGAGACCUUAGAUACCUUCAGUAUCUGAAGGAGGGCUGUAAGAAAGAAGGGGAGGGACUCCUUAGUAGGAUCUCCUGUGAUAGGACAAGCGGAAAUGGUCUAAAACUAAAAGGGGAGAUGUAGAUUGAGUAUAAGAAAAAGGUUUUUUACAAUAAUGGUGGUAUGGCAUUGGUACAGGUUGCCCAGAGUGAUGGUGACAUUCAAGGUCAGGCUGGAGGCAGCUCUGAGCACCUUGAUCCAGCUGAAGGUGUCCAUGUUCAUUGCAGGGGAGUUGGACCAGAUGUCCUUUGAAGGUCCCUUCCAACCCAAAUGAUUCUGUGAUUUGAUUCUGUACUCCAUUGUCCAGAAGCUGAAGCUGUGAGGUAGCUGCUGCAUUAAAAGUGAAUGUAUUUCUCAUGACUUUUUCCCAGGCUCUUGGUUAUGAUUUUUGUUGUCAAUAAAUGCAGUCUGAUACCCUUUUCA
rnacentral:lncRNA from 1 species